rnacentral:rRNA from 1 species
GACGAACGCUGGCGGCGUGCUUAACACAUGCAAGUCGAACGGAAAGGCCCUGCUUUUGUGGGGUGCUCGCGUGGCGAACGGGUGAGUAACACGUGAGUAACCUGCCCUUGACUUUGGGAUAACUUCAGAAAACUGGGGCUAAUACCGGCUAGGAGCUCCUGCUGCAGGGUGGGGGUUGGACAGUUUAGGCGGUUGGGGAUGGACUCGCGGCUUAUCAGCUUGUUGGUGGGGUAGUGGCUUACCAAGGCUUUGACGGGUAGCCGGCCUGGGAGGGUGACCGCCGACAAUGGUACUGAGGUACGGCGCAGAGUGGUACGGGAGGCAGCAGGGGGGAACAUGGCACAAUGGGGGGGCGCGUGAUGCAGAAAUCCUGCGAGCGGGAAGAACGCCUUCGGGUUAUAAACCGCAUUCGGCUGUGACGAAGCGUGAGUGACGGUAAUGGGUAAAGAAGCACCGGCUAACUACGUG